GAUCCUGGCUCAGGAUGAACGCUAGCUACAGGCUUAACACAUGCAAGUCGAGGGGCAGCAUAAUCGAAGCUUGCUUUGAUUGAUGGCGACCGGCGCACGGGUGAGUAACGCGUAUCCAACCUUCCCCUUAGUAGGGCAUAGCCCGGCGAAAGUCGGAUUAAUACCCUAUGUUAUCCGUCGAGGGCAUCUGAAGUGGAUUAAAGAUUUAUCGCUAAGGGAUGGGGAUGCGUCUGAUUAGGUUGUUGGCGGGGUAACGGCCCACCAAGCCUACGAUCAGUAGGGUUCUGAGAGGAAGGUCCCCCCACAUUGGUACUGAGACACGGACCAAACUCCUACGGGAGGCAGCAGUGAGGAAUAUUGGUCAAUGGGCGAGAGCCUGAACCAGCCAAGUAGCGUGCAGGAUGACGGCCCUAUGGGUUGUAAACUGCUUUUGCAUGGGAAUAAAGUCGGGGACGUGUCCCCGUUUGUAUGUACCAUGAGAAUAAGGACCGGCUAAUUCCGUGCCAGCCGCCGC
rnacentral:rRNA from 1 species